rnacentral:rRNA from 1 species
AAGUAUAAGCAAUCUAUACGGUGAAACUGCGAAUGGCUCAUUAAAUCAGUUAUCGUUUAUUUGAUAGUACCUUACUACUUGGAUAACCGUGGUAAUUCUAGAGCUAAUACAUGCUAAAAACCCCGACUUCGGAAGGGGUGUAUUUAUUAGAUAAAAAACCAAUGCCCUUCGGGGCUCCUUGGUGAUUCAUGAUAACUUAACGAAUCGCAUGGCCUUGUGCCGGCGAUGGUUCAUUCAAAUUUCUGCCCUAUCAACUUUCGAUGGUAGGAUAGUGGCCUACCAUGGUUUCAACGGGUAACGGGGAAUUAGGGUUCUAUUCCGGAGAGGGAGCCUGAGAAACGGCUACCACAUCCAAGGAAGGCAGCAGGCGCGCAAAUUACCCAAUCCCGACACGGGGAGGUAGUGACAAUAAAUACUGAUACAGGGCUCUUUUGGGUCUUGUAAUUGGAAUGAGUACAAUUUAAAUCCCUUAACGAGGAACAAUUGGAGGGCAAGUCUGGUGGAAUCUCAGUUCCCCAUGCUGACGCCAGAGAUAGUGGGGCGCUCCUCGGAGCGUUACGCCUGCUAGUCGAUCUACACAAUUCACUUUGGGUGUGUAGCGGCAAGACAACCUGGAUCGGGGAAGGCUAAGGGUUACAGUGUAAUAGCUGUGCCUAUGCUAAUCCCGAGCCGAGUCGUCUGGGGGUGACCCUGGAACGACCGGUGUAGAGCGCGCAAAGGUGUCGGUGGUUCUGCCGUUAGGCAGACCACUUGAGGUACGUGCCAAUCCCACGCGAAAGCGUGCUGCUAUCUGGAGCCCCCAAAGGGUAAAGGGUAGUGGGUGUGGGCCGAGGAAUCGGUGCAUACGGAGGAUCAAUAUAGCAUCCGAAUAAAUGGCCAGCAGCCGCGGUAAUUCCAGCUCCAAUAGCGUAUAUUAAAGUUGUUGCAGUUAAAAAGCUCGUAGUUGAACCUUGGGCCUGGCUGGCGGGUCCGCCUCACCGCGUGCACUUGUCCGGCCGGGCCUUUCCUUCUGGGGAGCCGCAUGCCCUUCACUGGGUGUGUCGGGGAACCAGGACUUUUACUUUGAAAAAAUUAGAGUGUUCAAAGCAGGCCUAUGCUCGAAUACAUUAGCAUGGAAUAAUAGAAUAGGACGUGUGGUUCUAUUUUGUUGGUUUCUAGGACCGCCGUAAUGAUUAAUAGGGAUAGUCGGGGGCAUCAGUAUUCAAUUGUCAGAGGUGAAAUUCUUGGAUUUAUUGAAGACUAACUACUGCGAAAGCAUUUGCCAAGGAUGUUUUCAUUAAUCAGUGAACGAAAGUUAGGGGAUCGAAGACGAUCAGAUACCGUCGUAGUCUUAACCAUAAACUAUGCCGACUAGGGAUCGGGCGAUGUUAUCUUUUUGACUCGCUCGGCACCUUACGAGAAAUCAAAGUUUUUGGGUUCUGGGGGGAGUAUGGUCGCAAGGCUGAAACUUAAAGAAAUUGACGGAAGGGCACCACCAGGAGUAAACCGCUCAUGCGUAGCCGCAGCAGCUCUGCUCCAGAAAGCAGCCCGAAAGGGUCAGUGGUGUUCCUUGCUCCGGGUCUCGACCUGGGGCGGAACUAAGUGCUAGUCGUCCUCGGGGACGGCGACACCCUCAAACUGCGGGAAACUCCUAAAGUCUCAGCUACCAAGCCGGCAUGCGAAAGCUGCUGGUGGCCAGGUUAAUUGCCUCGGGUAUGGUUACAAUGCUGGGGAUGUUACAAUGGACAAUCCGCAUCCAAGCUCCUAAGGUCGAACGACUACGGAGAAGGUUCAGAGACUAGAUGGGGGUGGGUAGUCGAUUCGGUACUGCUUAAGAUAUAGUCCGGCUGCGAGUGAAAACUCGCAGGUAGGUAUCGCCUAUCUACCGCGCCCGCGGGCGUGGGAAGAACGGGAGCCUGCGGCUUAAUUUGACUCAACACGGGGAAACUCACCAGGUCCAGACACAAUAAGGAUUGACAGAUUGAGAGCUCUUUCUUGAUUUUGUGGGUGGUGGUGCAUGGCCGUUCUUAGUUGGUGGAGUGAUUUGUCUGCUUAAUUGCGAUAACGAACGAGACCUUAACCUGCUAAAUAGCCAGGCUAGCUUUGGCUGGUCGCCGGCUUCUUAGAGGGACUAUCGGCUCAAGCCGAUGGAAGUUUGAGGCAAUAACAGGUUGACCUUCACAGGCUUGUAAAUGCAGGCCUCAAACUUUCGAUGGUCAGUGGGUGUCGGAUACUGCAAGUACACCAUCUUUACCACCCCGGAGCGAGCGCUCCAUUACGAGGGGGUGGGGUAUUCGCCGAAUACCUGAUGGGUGCGAGAUGACCUGGUUCAGGGGACGCCUCACUGUAGGCCAAUCCUGAGGCGAGCUAGAGUAGCGUCUAGCCGUCGCAACGCACGCAAAGGCAUCGGUUCGCCCCGUAGCGAUACGGGCGAGCUUAAGGUACGUGCUAUACCCUCCGCAAGGAGUGCCAGUAGAAUAGGCCUCGUAAGCCGAAGCUGCUGGGAUCGUCAUCCGGAUCCGUUCCGUGGCGGUUGUGCGAGGGUGCGAGAGACCUCGGUCUCCGCCACCCUCUGAAAGCUGUGAUGCCCUUAGAUGUUCUGGGCCGCACGCGCGCUACACUGACAGAGCCAACGAGUUCAUCACCUUGGCCGAAAGGUCUGGGUAAUCUUGUUAAACUCUGUCGUGCUGGGGAUAGAGCAUUGCAAUUAUUGCUCUUCAACGAGGAAUUCCUAGUAAGCGCAAGUCAUCAGCUUGCGCUGAUUACGUCCCUGCCCUUUGUACACACCGCCCGUCGCUACUACCGAUUGAAUGGCUCAGUGAGGCUUUCGGACUGGCUCAGGGAGGUCGGCAACGACCACCCAGAGCCGGAAAGUUGUUCAAACUUGGUCAUUUAGAGGAAGUAAAAGUCGUAACAAGGUUUCCGUAGCAUAAGUCAUGGAACUGGCCGCAAGGCCGUCUGGUCGUUGAGGGUGAUGCCUCUGACCGUGAUCCUUCCGCAAGUGAAACUUAUAGAAGCCUUUGCAGCCUCGCAAGAGGUAGCCCAGCGACAGUAAAUAAUUUGGGACUCAUGCAAGUCACCGAUCCUCCGGGUUCGGUGGCGACACGAUCGAAUUGACGGGGACACCCUAAAGCCUGCAACACGAACCACCCAUGGAAACAUAGGGUGGGGCCCAUGCUAACAACAUGGGGUCGUAAAAGAGUGCAGUGAUGAACCCGACGCCUGUCGGGGGAAAUGGGCAAUCCGCAGCGAAGACCCUACGGUGCUCUGCACACGGGUAACGUUCACAGACUAGGUGGUUGUGGGUGGCACUCCGGUGCUGCUUAAGAUAUAGUCGGGCCCCACGGGAAACCAUGGGGAUAAUUCACUUGCGAGUCACUCGUGACUCGAGAAUAGAACCGUUCCGUAGGUGAACCUGCGG